GCGCGGGUAGCUCAGUUGGUAGAGCGCCAGCCUGAAGAGUUGGGCGUCGGAGGUUCGAUCCCUUCCCCGCGCA
rnacentral:tRNA from 1 species